rnacentral:miRNA from 1 species
CCAGUUAUAUUUGAAUUUCAGAUAAACAGUGAAUAAACUUUUUUAAGUAUAGAUAUGUCCUAGCAAUGCUUGGGAUAUACUUAUACUAAAAUAUCAUUUGUCAUUUAUUUGAAAUUCAAAUUU